AUUGUCCGACAGAAAAGUUCAGUGGUGCGUUAUGUGAACCAGAUAAGAAUUCCCAUUCAUAUAGACCACAGGGGGUUUCAGACUACACUAGUGUAGUGAAAAGUGGACUACGUGAAAGAAUGAGAAAAUGUGUGCGAAAUAGAGGUGGACCCGUAGAACAUGAACUUCAAAAAUAUUAGGUGAAUAAAUGUUAUUUUGAACUGA
rnacentral:misc_RNA from 1 species